rnacentral:rRNA from 1 species
ACGCGUGGAACCUUACCAGGUCUUGACAUCCCAUUGACCGCUAUGGAGACAUAGCUUUCCCUUCGGGGACAGUGGUGACAGGUGGUGCACGGUUGUCGUCAGCUCGUGUCGUGAGAUGUUGGGUUAAGUCCCGCAACGAGCGCAACCCUUGAUCUUAGUUGCCAGCAUUUAGUUGGGCACUCUAAGGUGACUGCCGGUGACAAACCGGAGGAAGGUGGGGAUGACGUCAAAUCAUCAUGCCCCUUAUGACCUGGGCUACACACGUGCUACAAUGGAUGGUACAAAGGGCAGCAAAGCGGUGACGCCUAGCAAAUCCCAUAAAACCAUUCUCAGUUCGGAUUGUAGGCUGCAACUCGCCUACAUGAAGCUGGAAUCGCUAGUAAUCGCGGAUCAGCAUGCCGCGGUGAAUACGUUCCCGGGCCUUGCACACACCGCCCGU